UGGGCGAGGGGAAAGGCUGUGUCCAAAGACACACAACAAAAUUGGCUUUGAAAAUGCAGCUCAGCCAUACCUCCCCUAAACAAAGUGCCUUUUCAUGACCGGGACGAAUUGAGUGAAAUCGUAAUGGACAGAUAUGGGGCAGACAGUU